UUGAAUCGAACAAGUUAGUGUGUGGGGAUAGAAACGCUGUUAAAAUGCUUCUCGGUCGGUUAUUGUUGCGGACAUCAGCUGUUAAUAAGAGUUGGUACUACAAUCCAACUAUAUUAUGCGUAAAUUAUUAUAACAGUAUUCGUCCUAUACGUUGUUAGCGAAGCGGUGUGGUCUGGCCUUUCUUAGUUUAGCAAUACAGCAGUCUUGAUGUUAAAAAAUAUUGGUUAGCAGAAAUGCCUUCACUGCCUCCAAACGUGAUCCUUCCUAGCCAAACAUAAGAGUAGGGCUGGCGUUUGGAAGCACCAUUUUCUUGUGGGCACUGCUCUUCAAGCAACACAGCACUGAUGUGCAGGAGUACAAAAUAAGGAAUGGUUUAGAGUAAUUCCUAGGGAUGCGGCACUGACUGCUAUGUUCUUUGUGGAUCUGCCAUUAAAAAUGUAAAGUAAUGUUUAACAAAGAUGUGUAUGUAUUACUUGCUUUUAGUCUCUAUACUGUUUCCAGCAAUCAUGAGUUAAAAAAAAAUAAUAACUUAUAGGACAAUAUUUGUUUGGGCACAAAGGAAAUUUAAAAAUAAGUGUGCAAUUCACUUUUCCUCCCUCAAUAAAUUCAGCUUGGUCAUGUGAUUUUUACACAAAUCAAUAAUAGAUGCAUUCUUGAAC